GGGCGGUUAGUUCAGUUGGUUAGAACGUUUGGUUUACACCCAAAAGGUCGCAGGUUCGAAUCCUGCACCGCCCA
rnacentral:tRNA from 1 species